rnacentral:misc_RNA from 1 species
GAAAUGCGAUAAGUAGUGUGAAUUGCAGAAUUCAGUGAAUCAUCGAAUCUUUGAACGCACAUUGCCCCCUAUGGUAUUCCGUAGGGCAUGCCUGUUCGAGCGUCAUUUACACCUUCAAGCCUUGCUUGGUGUUGGGUGACUGUGGCCCCUUUGGGGCCACUCGCCUUAAAGUCAUUGGCGGCCGGUUCGUUGGCUUUGUAGCGCAGCACAAUUGCGUCCUCGAAGCCGCUGGACCAGCUCCCAGAAGCUAAUUUUAAAUGUUUGACCUCGAAUCAGGUAGGGAUACCAGCUGAACUUAAGC